UUCCUUCAGUCUGUGCUCCAAACUUUGCCU
rnacentral:piRNA from 1 species